GCGGGUAUGGUUCAAUGGCAGAACGCAACCUUCCCAAGGUUGAAAUGCGGGUUCGAUUCCCGCUACCCGCU
rnacentral:tRNA from 1 species